AUUGAACGCUGGCGGCAGGCCUAACACAUGCAAGUCGAGCGGAUGAAGGGAGCUUGCUCCUGGAUUCAGCGGCGGACGGGUGAGUAAUGCCUAGGAAUCUGCCUGGUAGUGGGGGAUAACGUCCGGAAACGGGCGCUAAUACCGCAUACGUCCUGAGGGAGAAAGUGGGGGAUCUUCGGACCUCACGCUAUCAGAUGAGCCUAGGUCGGAUUAGCUAGUUGGUGGGGUAAAGGCCUACCAAGGCGACGAUCCGUAACUGGUCUGAGGGGAUGAUCAGUCACACUGGAACUGAGACACGGUCCAGACUCCUACGGGAGGCAGCAGUGGGGAAUAUUGGACAGUGGGCGAAAGCCUGAUCCAGCCAUGCCGCGUGUGUGAAGAAGGUCUUCGGAUUGUAAAGCACUUUAAGUUGGGAGGAAGGGCAGUAAGUUAAUACCUUGCUGUUUUGACGUUACCAACAGAAUAAGCACCGGCUAACUUCGUG
rnacentral:rRNA from 1 species